rnacentral:rRNA from 1 species
GUCUGUUUGAAAUUAUGAUCAGUCUUGCCUGCCCACUGAGUUGUUGAAGGGCCGCGGUAUUUUGACUGUGCGAAGGUAGCAUAAUCAUUAGUCUUUUAAUUGAAGGCUGGAAUGAAGGGCCGGACAAAAAACAAACUGUUUCUUGUAUAUUGUUUGAAUUUGACUUUUAAGUGAAGAGGCUUAAAUAAUCUUAAAAGACGAUAAGACCCUAUAAAACUUUACAUUUAUUUAGUGGGUUGAAAUUUAUUUGUGAAACUCUUUUUUCUAAUAUAAUGUUUCAUUGGGGUGAUGAAAGUAUAAAUUUAACUGCUUUGUUUUUAAAACAGCUAUUUUUGGUARAUAUAGAUUCUUAAUAAGGAUUUGAAGAAUAAGUUACUUUAGGGAUAACAGCGUUAUUUUUUCUGAGAGUUCAUAUCGACGAAAGAGUUUGCGACCUCGAUGUUGAAUUAAAACUUCCAUAUGGUGCAGCAGUUAUUAUGGUAGGUCUGUUCGACCUUUAAUGUUUUACGUGAUUUGAGUUCAAACCGGCGUGAG